UACGUAGGGCGCAAGCGUUAUCCGGAAUUAUUGGGCGUAAAGAGCUUGUAGGCGGUUUGUCGCGUCUGCUGUGAAAAUCCGGGGCUCAACCCCGGACUUGCAGUGGGUACGGGCAGACUAGAGGUAGGUAGGGGAGAAUGGAAUUCCUGGUGUAGCGGUGAAAUGCGCAGAUAUCAGGAGGAACACCGGUGGCGAAGGCGGUUCUCUGGGCCUUACCUGACACUGAGGAGCGAAAGCGUGGGGAGCGAACAGG
rnacentral:rRNA from 1 species